rnacentral:rRNA from 1 species
GAACGAACGCUGGCGGCGUGGAUAAGACAUGCAAGUCGAACGAGAGAAUUGCUAGCUUGCUAAUAAUUCUCUAGUGGCGCACGGGUGAGUAACACGUGAGUAACCUGCCCCCGAGAACGGGAUAGCCCUGGGAAACUGGGAUUAAUACCGCAUAGUAUCGAAAGAUUAAAGCAGCAAUGCGCUUGGGGAUGGGCUCGCGGCCUAUUAGUUAGUUGGUGAGGUAACGGCUCACCAAGGCGAUGACGGGUAGCCGGUCUGAGAGGAUGUCCGGCCACACUGGAACUGAGACACGGUCCAGACACCUACGGGUGGCAGCAGUCGAGAAUCAUUCACAAUGGGGGAAACCCUGAUGGUGCGACGCCGCGUGGGGGAAUGAAGGUCUUCGGAUUGUAAACCCCUGUCAUGUGGGAGCAAAUUAAAAAGAUAGUACCACAAGAAGAAGAGACGGCUAACUCUGUGCCAGCAGCCGCGGUAAUACAGAGGUCUCAAGCGUUGUUCGGAAUC